AAUUUAACACACUAUUCCUACUAAUCCUAACAAGAAUCUUCCUAAAUUUCUCAUACAGGCAUAUACAUAUCAUAAUAAAUACAUAUACAUAAAAUCUUUAAAAUAAUUCAUGAAAUUAAUAAGACUUAUAAGAAAAAGUUUUAACAUGCGUUUAAAAGUUACAAGUCUAGAUGCUUAGUUCCCUACUUAUUCAACGACAACGUCUUCUUCUUCUUCUCUAUUCUCAGAUGGUUCUUGUUCUAAGAGAAGACAGAUAAUCAGAAUUAGAAACGAUGUUAUUUCUUUUAAUUGUUUUGAUAAGUGUUUUAAAUUCCUAAUAACCAUCCACUACAUGGUAGUUACGUGGGUUAAGGAUUUUAGUUUAUCCUAUUUUAUCUCCUCCUUAACCCCCAAUUACCUUUUAACAUUCUCUACCAAUUUUUUUUUCUUUUUACCCAUAGAAAAUUACCACUUAAGUAAUGAGCAAAAAUAAAAAUUGAAUAUAACAAUAAAAAAAUGUGGGUGUUACGGUCUCCCAUAGUGAAAGAACCUUUCUCCUUAUUGAGAGAGAUCACCAAUAUUUGCAAUAUACUUGUUUUAAAACAAAACUUUCCUGAAGUGUAUAUACUUGUGUUUUUUUUUCAGUUAAUCAACAACAUCUAUACACUACUCUCACUCUAAUAUUCAAACAAAGGUCUAGCUAGGUCACGAAGUGUUGGAAGGAAAAAAAACCUAUCUCUGGACGAAAAGGAUGCAUUAUUGUACACCUUUUGAUCAAUUUAAUUACAGGUGCAAAGAUUUGAACUCUUGACAUGCAAGUAGAACUACAUUAUAUGCUUUUUAUUACAAUAGAGCUCAAAACAGGAGAGGCAUAUGAAAUUCAAAACCUAAGGGGCUGCAAGUGAAUUAUCAAUAACCACAGGGGAGAUAACCAAAAUUAUCCCUCUUUUAAGUAAGUUGUUUUUAUUUUAUUUUUAUUUUCUCCUCUUUCUCUUUUCUAAUCAAACCAUACAAAAUUUUACAUCCACAAAGUCAAAUUUUCAGUCAAUUUGUAGAUAUUAUCAUAAAGAAAUAAUAAAAAUCGAAUAGUGUCUUGGACACGCUUUUAGGACUUAAAAUUAGUGAUGAAUACAGUAAUAACAUGAUCUGUCAUUUAAAAAUUUUCAAUCCAUCACAAACCUUAACUAAGGGUUAACACUUGUGUUUUCAGACUCGGACCGGAUCAGUCGGUUCGACCGAUCGAACCGGGAACCUGCCAAGUGUCCGGACCGAGUCAUGCUUCAAAAUCGGGUAAGUAAAAACCCGGUCAAGUCCGGUCAAAAACCGGAUUUUCCGGUUCAAACAAUUUUUUAAAAAAAAAAAAUCAAACU
rnacentral:lncRNA from 1 species